UUGAACGCUGGCGGCAGGCCUAACACAUGCAAGUCGAACGGUAACAGGAAGCAGCUUGCUGCUUCGCUGACGAGUGGCGGACGGGUGAGUAAUGUCUGGGAAGCUGCCUGAUGGAGGGGGAUAACUACUGGAAACGGUAGCUAAUACCGCAUAAUGUCGCAAGACCAAAGAGGGGGACCUUCGGGCCUCUUGCCAUCGGAUGUGCCCAGAUGGGAUUAGCUUGUUGGUGGGGUAACGGCUCACCAAGGCGCCGAUCCCUAGCUGGUCUGAGAGGAUGACCAGCCACACUGUGACUGAGACACGGUCCAGACUCCUACGGGAGGCAGCAGUGGGGAAUAUUGCACAAUGGGCGCAAGCCUGAUGCAGCCAUGCCGCGUGUAUGAAGAAGGCCUUCGGGUUGUAAAGUACUUUCAGCGGGGAGGAAGGGAGUAAAGUUAAUACCUUUGCUCAUUGACGUUACCCGCAGAAGAAGCACCGGCUAACUCCGUG
rnacentral:rRNA from 1 species